UGUCGCAGGCUGGCGCAAGCUGGCGUGAGGAAAGUCGGGACAGCGCAGAGCACCAUACUUCCUAACGGGAAGGCGUUGGAGACAACGACAGCAAGUGCCACAGAAAAUUACCGCCCUGAGCUUGUCGAGGGGUAAGGGUGAAAACGCGAGGCAAGAGCUCACGCGUUGCCAUGGUGACACGGCAAUGAGGUAAACCUUAUGGGCUGCAAGACCAAAUAUACCGGCGUGUAGAGACGUCAUCUUAUGGCGUCUAUACGAAGAAUCGCUCGUUCAAGCCGGGAGGGUAGGUUGCUAAAGCCUGAUGGCGACGUCAGGAUUAGAGAAAUGACAAUCAAAUACAGAAUCCCGCUUAUGCCUU
rnacentral:RNase_P_RNA from 1 species